CUACGGGCGGCAGCAGUGAGGAAUUUUGCGCAAUGGGGGGAACCCUGACGCAGCAACGCCGUGUGUGUGAAGAAGGCCUUUGGGUCGUAAAGCUCUGUCAACUGGGAAGAAGUUACUAUGCUUAAAUAGAGUGCAGUAUUGACGGUACCAGUGGAGGAAGCGUCGGCUAACUCCGUGCCAGCAGCCGCGGUAACACGGGGGACGCAAGCGUUAUUCGGAAUUAUUGGGCGUAAAGGGCGCGUAGGCGGUCUUGUCGGUCAGGUGUGAAAGCCCGGGGCUCAACCCCGGACGUGCACUUGAAACAGCAAGGCUUGAGUACGGGAGAGGAAAGCGGAAUUCCUGGUGUAGAGGUGAAAUGCGUAGAUAUCAGGAGGAACACCGAUGGCGAAGGCAGCUUUCUGGACCGAAACUGACGCUGAGGCGCGAAGGCGUGGGUAGCGAACGGGAUUAGAUACCCGAGUAGUC
rnacentral:rRNA from 1 species